rnacentral:rRNA from 1 species
UACGGGGGGGGCAAGCGUUGUUCGGAAUUACUGGGCGUAAAGGGCUCGUAGGCGGCCAACUAAGUCAGACGUGAAAUCCCCCGGCUUAACCAGGGAACUGCGUCUGAUACUGGAUGGCUUGAGUUUGGGAGAGGGAUGCGGAAUUCCAGGUGUAGCGGUGAAAUGCGUAGAUAUCUGGAGGAACACCGGUGGCGAAGGCGACAUCCUGGACCAAUACUGACGCUGAGUGAGCGAAAGCCAGGGGAGCAAACGGG